rnacentral:rRNA from 1 species
AUUGCCUUAGUAACGGCGAGUGAAGCGGCAAUAGCUCAAAUUUGAAAGCUGGCCCCUUUGGGGUCCGCAUUGUAAUUUGUAGAGGAUGAUUCGGCGAGGGCUCCCGUCUAAGUCCCCUGGAACGGGGCGUCAUAGAGGGUGAGAAUCCCGUAUGUGAUGGGUUGCCUUAGCCAUGUGAAUCUCCUUCGACGAGUCGAGUUGUUUGGGAAUGCAGCUCUAAAUGGGAGGUAAAUUUCUUCUAAAGCUAAAUACCGGCCAGAGACCGAUAGCGCACAAGUAGAGUGAUCGAAAGAUGAAAAGCACUUUGGAAAGAGAGUUAAAAAGUACGUGAAAUUGUUGAAAGGGAAGCGCUUGCAGCCAGACUUGUCCGCAGUUGCUCAGCCGGUCUCCUGACCGGCGUACUCUUCUGCGGCCAGGCCAGCAUCAGUUCGGGCGGUCGGAUAAAGGCCCCGGGAAUGUAGCUCCUCUCGGGGAGUGUUAUAGCCCGGGGUGGAAUGCGGCCAGCCUGGACUGAGGAUCUCGCUUCGGCUAGGAUGCUGGCGUAAUGGCUGUAAGCGGCCCGUCUUGAAACACGGACCAAGGAGUCUAACAUCUAUGCGAGUGUUUGGGUGUCAAACCCAUACGCGUAAUGAAAGUGAACGGAGGUGGGAACCCUCACGGGUGCACCAUCGACCGAUCCUGAUGUCUUCGGAUGGAUUUGAGUAAGAGCAUAGCUGUUGGGACCCGAAAGAUGGUGA